rnacentral:lncRNA from 1 species
CCUCGAAAAACACUAGCCCGGGCAGGAUCACAUCUACCAUCAAUACCCCUGUAGGGGUAAUCAUCUUCAGUGUCAAUCAAUGCCACCACUGGCUAUAAUGAAUUGGAAGGCAUAGACCAUUAGACCUUCAUUGCACCCAGAAUUUUUGAUUCUGUCACGGUCUACUUCUUGUUCUGAUGGAGGGACAAGUUCCCCCUGUAACUAUCUGGUUUAUGCUUUCAACGGCAGCAACAGUUGAGAAAGCCCAACUACUUACUGAUUCACGAACAACAUAAAUUUAUUGUCUUGUAAGUCAAUUUUAAGGCUAAUUUUUUUUUCUCUUGAUCUUUUUGCUUUUGGCUCUUAAUAAAUAAGAUUCCAAACGUGAAGAUUUUGAAUCUUGAAGCAGAGCAUGAAAAACAGACUUGAAAAAAUGCAGUGAAAAAAAGGAUGGGAAGAUAACCUCACCACAACUUGAUUUCUAACCGGAGCAACGGCUCCUUUCUUUCUCCAACCAACAAAUUCCGCCAACCCGAAUAGCAUAACGCUGGCUAGCUAUUUUUGAUUUCACAAACCUCGUACCCAAGAACAUGGACCUGUACUCUUUAUUAGUCAGAUCAGCAAACUGGUUCAAUCCCACCUUGUAUGUUCGAUUCUCCGAGUUAUGUUCAUCAAUAAACAUAAUAUUAUCCUUGAAAAUUUGAAAUCUUUUGUCCUUCUCUUCCAAACCAUUGUAUACUUUGUCAUGCCUUGCUAGCCACCAUUCGUACAAGCCCUUCACUUCUUGGACGCUUUUCCAUGAUGUGUUUAUUGUCAUAAUCUAUGAUCGACAUGUCUAUUACAUGUGACCAAGACGCGAAUAAGAGGAAAAGAAAGGUGAUCAUGGGCAUGGCUAUGGCUAUGGCUUAGAAAUGGAGAUGAGAUCUCUAUAGGAAUCUAAGCCCACGAGGAAGAAUUGUUAGAUUGCUUAGGCUUGAAGAAGUUGUCCAAUGAGAUCCAGAGAGACCAGAUCCAUAGGAUGUCAUGUAUGGAAUCGGCCUAGACCACGAUCGAUGCCAAUA